AGAGUUUGAUCCUGGCUCAGGAUGAACGCUAGCUACAGGCUUAACACAUGCAAGUCGAGGGGCAGCAUGGUCUUAGCUUGCUAAGGCUGAUGGCGACCGGCGCACGGGUGAGUAACACGUAUCCAACCUGCCGUCUACUCUUGGCCAGCCUUCUGAAAGGAAGAUUAAUCCAGGAUGGGAUCAUGAGUUCACAUGUCCGCAUGAUUAAAGGUAUUUUCCGGUAGACGAUGGGGAUACG
rnacentral:rRNA from 1 species